rnacentral:rRNA from 1 species
AACGUAGGUACCGAGCGUUAUCCGGAUUUACUGGGCGUAAAGCGCGUUCAGGCGGUUUGGCAAGUCGGGCAUGAAAUCUCUCGGCUCAACCGGGAGAGGUUGUCCGAUACUUCCAGACUUGAGGGCAGUAGAGGGUGGUGGAAUUCCGGGUGUAGUGGUGAAAUGCGUAGAGAUCGGCAGGAACACCAGUGGCGAAGGCGACUACCUGGCCUGUUUCUUGACGCUGAGGCGCGAAAGCUAGGGGAGCAAACGGG